GGGGUUGUAGCUCAGUUGGAUAGAGCGACCGCCUCCUAAGCGGUAGGUCGAGGGUUCAAGUCCCGCCAAUCCCG
rnacentral:tRNA from 1 species